CAACUUUCAACAACGGAUCUCUUGGCUCUCGCAUCGAUGAAGAACGCAGCGAAAUGCGAUAAGUAAUGUGAAUUGCAGAAUUCAGUGAAUCAUCGAAUCUUUGAACGCACCUUGCACUCCUUGGUAUUCCGAGGAGUAUGCCUGUUUGAGUGUCAUGG
rnacentral:rRNA from 1 species